rnacentral:rRNA from 1 species
GACGAACGCUGGCGGCGUGCCUAAUACAUGCAAGUUGAGCGCUGAAGGUUGGUACUUGUACCAACUGGAUGAGCAGCGAACGGGUGAGUAACGCGUGGGGAAUCUGCCUUUGAGCGGGGGACAACAUUUGGAAACGAAUGCUAAUACCGCAUAAAAACUUUAAACACAAGUUUUGAGUUUGAAAGAUGCAAUUACAUCACUCAAAGAUGAUCCCGCGUUGUAUUAGCUAGUUGGUGAGGUAAAGGCUCACCAAGGCGAUGAUACAUAGCCGACCUGAGAGGGUGAUCGGCCACAUUGGGACUGAGACACGGCCCAAACUCCUACGGGAGGCAGCAGUAGGGAAUCUUCGGCAAUGGACGAAAGUCUGACCGAGCAACGCCGCGUGAGUGAAGAAGGUUUUCGGAUCGUAAAACUCUGUUGGUAGAGAAGAACGUUGGUGAGAGUGGAAAGCUCAUCAAGUGACGGUAACUACCCAGAAAGGGACGGCUAACUACGUG